rnacentral:rRNA from 1 species
UGAGACGGGGAUAAACCCGGGAAACUGGGUAUAAUACCCGAUAGAUCUCGACUGCUGGAAUGCAUCGAGAUCCAAAGCUCCGGCGCUCAAGGAUGGGUCUGCGGCCUAUCAGGUAGUAGUGGGUGUAGCGUACCUACUAGCCUACGACGGGCACGGGUUGUGAGAGCAAGAGCCCGGAGAUGGAUUCUGAGACACGAAUCCAGGCCCUACGGGGUGCAGCAGGCGCGAAAACUUUACAAUGCUGGAAACAGCGAUAAGGGGACCUCGAGUGCCAGGUUACAAAUCUGGCUGUCGUGAUGCCUAAAAAGCAUUGCAUAGCAAGGGCCGGGCAAGACCGGUGCCAGCCGCCGCGGUAACACCGGCGGCUCGAGUGGUAACCGUUAUUAUUGGGUCUAAAGGGUCUGUAGCCGGCCGGAUAAGUCUCUUGGGAAAUCUGGCAGCUUAACUGUCAGGCUUUCAGGAGAUACUGUCUGGCUCGAGGCCGGGAGAGGUGAGAGGUACUUCAGGGGUAGGGGUGAAAUCUUGUAAUCCUUGAAGGACCACCAGUGGCGAAGGCGUCUCACCAGAACGGACCUGACGGCAAGGGACGAAAGCUAGGGGCACGAACCGGAUUAGAUACCCGGGUAGUCCUAGCCGUAAACGAUACUCGCUAGGUGUCGGCCACGGUGCGACCGUUGUCGGUGCCGUAGGGAAGCCGUGAAGCGAGCCACCUGGGAAGUACGGCCGCAAGGCUGAAACUUAAAGGAAUUGGCGGGGGAGCA